GCAGUCGAGCGGUAAGGCCUUUCGGGGUACACGAGCGGCGAACGGGUGAGUAACACGUGGGUGAUCUGCCCUGCACUCUGGGAUAAGCUUGGGAAACUGGGUCUAAUACCGGAUAUGACCACAGCAUGCAUGUGUUGUGGUGGAAAGAUUUAUCGGUGCAGGAUGGGCCCGCGGCCUAUCAGCUUGUUGGUGGGGUAAUGGCCUACCAAGGCGACGACGGGUAGCCGACCUGAGAGGGUGACCGGCCACACUGGGACUGAGACACGGCCCAGACUCCUACGGGAGGCAGCAGUGGGGAAUAUUGCACAAUGGGCGGAAGCCUGAUGCAGCGACGCCGCGUGAGGGAUGAAGGCCUUCGGGUUGUAAACCUCUUUCAGCAGGGACGAAGCGUGAGUGACGGUACCUGCAGAAGAAGCACCGGCUAACUACGUGCCAGCAGCCGCGGUAAUACGUAGGGUGCGAGCGUUGUCCGGAAUUACUGGGCGUAAAGAGUUCGUAGGCGGUUUGUCGCGUCGUUUGUGAAAACCCGGGGCUCAACUUCGGGCUUGCAGGCGAUACGGGCAGACUUGAGUGUUUCAGGGGAGACUGGAAUUCCUGGUGUAGCGGUGAAAUGCGCAGAUAUCAGGAGGAACACCGGUGGCGAAGGCGGGUCUCUGGGAAACAACUGA
rnacentral:rRNA from 1 species